rnacentral:rRNA from 1 species
UACGAAGGGGGCUAGCGUUGCUCGGAAUCACUGGGCGUAAAGCGCACGUAGGCGGACUCUUAAGUCGGUGGUGAAAUCCCGGGGCUCAACCUCGGAACUGCCUUUGAUACUGCAAAUCUCGAGUCCGAUAGAGGUGGGUGGAAUUCCUAGUGUAGAGGUGAAAUUCGUAGAUAUUAGCUAGAACACCAGUGGCGAAGGCGGCCAACUGGUCCGGUACUGACGCUGAGGUGCGAAAGCGUGGGGAGCAAACAGG